rnacentral:rRNA from 1 species
AACGUAGGAGACAAACGUUAUCCGGAGUUACUGGGCGUAAAGGGCGUGUAGGCGGUUUGUUAAGUCUGGCGUGAAAGCUCUCGGCUAAACCGGGAGAGGUCGUUGGAUACUGGCAAACUAGAGGACGGUAGAGGCGUGGUGGAAUUCCGGGUGUAGUGGUGAAAUGCGUAGAGAUCCGGAGGAACACCAGUGGCGAAGGCGACACGCUGGGCCGUACCUGACGCUAAAGCGCGACAGCAUGGGGAGCAAACGGG